GACGAACGCUGGCGGCGUGCUUAACACAUGCAAGUCGAACGGAAAGGCCCUGCUUUUGUGGGGUGCUCGAGUGGCGAACGGGUGAGUAACACGUGAGUAACCUGCCCUUGACUUUGGGAUAACUUCAGGAAACUGGGGCUAAUACCGGAUAGGAUCUCCUGCUGCAUGGUGGGGGUUGGAAAGUUUCGGCGGUUGGGGAUGGACUCGCGGCUUAUCAGCUUGUUGGUGGGGUAGUGGCUUACCAAGGCUUUGACGGGUAGCCGGCCUGAGAGGGUGACCGGCAACAUUGGGACUGAGAUACGGCCCAGACUCCAACGGGAGGCAGCAGUGGGGAAUAUUGCACAAUGAGCGGAAGCCUGAUGCAGCAACGCCGCGUGCGGGAUGACGGCCUUCGGGUUGUAAACCGCUUUCGCCUGUGACGAAGCGUGAGUGACGGUAAUGGGUAAAGAAGCACCGGCUAACUACGUG
rnacentral:rRNA from 1 species